rnacentral:rRNA from 1 species
AGUGAACGCUGGCGGUAGGCCUAACACAUGCAAGUCGAACGGCAGCACAGUAAGAGCUUGCUCUUACGGGUGUCGAGUGGCGGACGGGUGAGGAAUACAUCGGAAUCUACUUUUUCGUGGGGGAUAACGUAGGGAAACUUACGCUAAUACCGCAUACGACCUACGGGUGAAAGCAGGGGAUCUUCUGACCUUGCGCGAUUGAAUGAGCCGAUGUCGGAUUAGCUAGUUGGCGGGGUAAAGGCCCACCAAGGCGACGAUCCGUAGCUGGUCUGAGAGGAUGAUCAGCCACACUGGAACUGAGACACGGUCCAGACUCCUACGGGAGGCAGCAGUGGGGAAUAUUGGACAAUGGGCGAAAGCCUGAUCCAGCCAUACCGCGUGGGUGAAGAAGGACUUCGGGUUGUAAAGCCCUUUUGUUGGGAAAGAAAAGCAGCAGGUUAAUACCCCGCUGUUCUGACGGUACCCAAAGAAUAAGCACCGGCUAACUUCGUG